CCUACGGGAGGCAGCAGUGGGGAAUAUUGGACAAUGGGGGAAACCCUGAUCCAGCAAUGCCGCGUGAGUGAUGAAGGCCUUAGGGUCGUAAAGCUCUUUUACCAGGGAUGAUAAUGACAGUACCUGGAGAAUAAGCUCCGGCUAACUCCGUGCCAGCAGCCGCGGUAAUACGGAGGGAGCUAGCGUUGUUCGGAAUUACUGGGCGUAAAGCGUGCGUAGGCGGUUAUUCAAGUCAGAGGUGAAAGCCCGGGGCUCAACCCCGGAACGGCCUUUGAAACUAGAUAACUAGAAUCUUGGAGAGGUCAGUGGAAUUCCGAGUGUAGAGGUGAAAUUCGUAGAUAUUCGGAAGAACACCAGUGGCGAAGGCGACUGACUGGACAAGUAUUGACGCUGAGGUACGAAAGCGUGGGGAGCAAACAGGAUUAGAUACCCUGGUAGUCCACGCCGUAAACGAUGAUAACUAGACUGUCCGGACACUUGGUGUUUGGGUGGCGCAGCUAACGCAUUAAGUUAUCCGCCUGGGGAGUACGGUCGCAAGAUUAAAACUCAAAGGAAUUGACGG
rnacentral:rRNA from 1 species